rnacentral:lncRNA from 1 species
GGAUGAAUGUAAAUGACAGGUUAAGAUUAGGAACACUACACAUUGUUGUUAUCAACAAUGACGGAUUUUGCCGCCACACACGCCCUGUUGCAACUCUGCUACUAUGAUUUUCUAUUUCUAUGGAUGUAUUGGUUUGCAUAGUCUCUAGAAUUCUUGUAUGUUAGUAGUAAACUUUUCCUGUUAUGCUGCAAUGCAGCAUACUCUUUGGUUUCCAGCAAUCAGCUUUUAUUAUUAAUCUAGAUCAUUUCUAAUGAUUCCACACGUAGUAUAAUGUAAUUCAAGAUGCUUCCUUCCUAUCUUUUGAGGGAUACAAGUUGUUUCACUACCUGACAAAGUUAUAAUAAUC